rnacentral:rRNA from 1 species
AACGAACGCUGGCGGCAGGCCUAACACAUGCAAGUCGAGCGCGCCCUUCGGGGUGAGCGGCGGACGGGGGAGUAACGCGUGGGAACGUGCCCUUUUCUACGGAAUAGCCUCGGGAAACUGAGAGUAAUACCGUAUACGCCCUUUGGGGGAAAGAUUUAUCGGAAAAGGAUCGGCCCGCGUUGGAUUAGGUAGUUGGUGGGGUAAUGGCCUACCAAGCCGACGAUCCAUAGCUGGUUUGAGUGGACGAUCAGCCACACUGGGACUGAGACACGUCCCAGACUCCUACGGGAGGCAGCAGUGGGGAAUCUUAGACAAUGGGGGCAACCCUGAUCUAGCCAUGCCGUGUGAGUGAUGAAGGCCUUAGGGUUGUAAAGCUCUUUCAGCUGGGAAGAUAAUGACGGUACCAGCAGAAGAAGCCCCGGCUAACUCCGG